rnacentral:lncRNA from 1 species
AGAAAGCGAGGGUAACAGUAUGCACAAAAAGCAGAGGAAAGCUAAAUAUAGAAAAAAGAUAGAGAAGAUUUAAAGCUACAAGUGACAAUAAGAUGAAAGGGCAAGCCGAAUUCCAACAGACGCGGUCAUAAUGAUUCUAGGGGUUUACCCCCUCGACAGUUGGAGCAAUAACUGCCGAGAAGGUAAAGGGGCAAUUGAUGACCUCUGAGUUCACCUCAUCCCCGUCUAGGGCCAGGCCCAUGAAAAUAGCCCAUUACUUAGAGAUCCUCAAGCCACUCACGCCAGCUGGGUCCAGUCCAUUAAGCCUCACGACCGGGUUUAUCUGGCUCUCUCCACCAGGCCGGCCUCGUCUUCUCUGCACCUUAGGCCGAUCCCAUUUAGGCCCUGCUUUAUCCCUACUCACCGGUCCAGCCCAGAACCCGAAAGAGGAUCCAUCCAUCCAUCUUGCAGACCCGCCUACCCGCGCCCUGAGAGAAUCAGAGGCCGUUACGCAUGGGGCAGAGAUUUGAUUCCCUCGUACGUCCGUAUCAGCGUGGCAGGGACAGGUGGUCUACUGAUACUCGUUCUAUUGGCACGUCACUAGCAGACAAAAGGAAACCUAUAAAA